UACAGAUCGAGCUUUGUUUUAGAUAUGGCAGGAUAUUGGCGACGCGUGAUCAGAACGAUGUCCGGUACCUCAUCAUUCAUGGCUUCCAUCACUCUGGUUUUUGUGCUGUUGUUUCUGAUUGUCCUAAUGUGCAUGGCUGACUCCCAGUCAAUUGUGGAGACUCUACCAGGAUUUCCCGGAAAACUGCCUUUCAAACUUGAAACUGGGUUGCCAGCAUUAUAUUCUUAGAUGCUCCCGUUGGCUCGGGAUUCUCAUAUGCAAGAACCUCCCAAGGUUACAAUAUCACCGAUAAAAUCUCAGCGGCACAAACCUAUCAGUUCCCGCCGAAGUGGCUGAUAAAUCACCCACAAUUCCAGUCAAAUGCACUUUUACGUAGGUGGUGAUUCUUAUUCAGGCCUUGUCGUUCCAAUCAUC